AUAGAGAGAACGAGAAAGGGGAGUCGGCAUGAAGGAAGAAAGAGAAGAAAAAGAAGAGAAGAAAAAGAGGAGGAACAGUGGGUUUCAAGCCAAACGAGAUAUACCAAAUCAUUCCUAAACGAUUAUAGGUUUUGAUUAUUAUCUUUUUAAGGUAACCAAGGAUUUUGAGGAAUACAAGUGUAUGUUGUAGCAGGACCACAUGUGCUUAUAGAUUUAGCGUUUAAUGAUGAGCAAUUGGAUAGGACGACACGGGUAACAAUCAGGAGUAGAUGAACACUUGCCGAAGGUUUAUGCAAGUGUUAUCUUUAAAUUAUAGCCGAGUACAUUAUGCUUGUUACAUUACUAGCCCAUAUUUUGUACCUAAAUAUGUUAUUUUCUUUAAGUUGGUAAUGGGGUCGUUAAGCUAA